rnacentral:rRNA from 1 species
AUUGAACGCUGGCGGCAGGCCUAACACAUGCAAGUCGAGCGGAGCGGCGGACGGGUGAGUAAUGCCUAGGAAUCUGCCUGGUAGUGGGGGAUAACGUCCGGAAACGGGCGCUAAUACCGCAUACUAUCAGAUGAGCCUAGGUCGGAUUAGCUAGUUGGUGGGGUAGAGGCCUACCAAGGCGACGAUCCGUAACUGGUCUGAGAGGAUGAUCAGUCACCCUGGAACUUAGACACGGUCCAGACUCCUACCGGAGGCAGCAGUUGGGAAUAUUGGGACAUGGGGCAAAGCCUUAUCCCGCCAUGGCGCGGUUUGGAAGAAGGUCUUCGGAUUGUAAAGCACUUUCCGCGGGGAGGCGUUACCCGCAGAAGAAGCACCGGCUAACUCCGUGCCAGCCGCCGCGGUAAUUC